rnacentral:rRNA from 1 species
GACGAACGCUGGCGGCGUGCCUAAUACAUGCAAGUCGAACGCACAGUUUAUACCGUAGCUUGCUACACCAUAGACUGUGAGUUGCGAACGGGUGAGUAACGCGUAGGUAACCUGCCUGGUAGCGGGGGAUAACUAUUGGAAACGAUAGCUAAUACCGCAUAAUAUUAAUUAUUGCAUGAUAAUUAAUUGAAAGGUGCAAUUGCACCACUACCAGAUGGACCUGCGUUGUAUUAGCUAGUAGGUGAGGUAACGGCUCACCUAGGCGACGAUACAUAGCCGACCGGAGAGGGGGAUCGGCCACACUGGGACUGAGACACGGCCCAGACUCCUACGGGAGGCAGCAGUAGGGAAUCUUCGGCAAUGGACGAAAGUCUGACCGAGCAACGCCGCGUGAGUGAAGAAGGUUUUCGGAUCGUAAAGCUCUGUUGUAAGAGAAGAACGGGUGUGAGAGUGGAAAGUUCACACUGUGACGGUAUCUUACCAGAAAGGGACGGCUAACUACGUG